GUCUGGCAGCACUGUGUUCCUGUUAGAGCCACCAGCACAAGCACCAGACGAUGCUGAUCCAGGUGAAGGCCCCAGUGCAGCAGCAACAGCACAUGAUGGAGACGAUGAUGAGGAGGAGACCAUCUCUCUGGAUUCCAGAAGGCAUGAGGACCCAGAUGCUAUACAGUGGGAAAACCAGCCUGGCAACAUAAGCUCACAAGCUAUCAGAAAGUUGUAUGGCAACCACCUCCGGCGCCAAAUAGAACUGGCAGACAUAGACAUUCAGUACA